UGCAGUAAGUGCCUUCCGUGGACAUAUUCUUCUUUUCCUAGGACAGUGCCUAUGCUUUGAUUUACAGAAUAAAUGUCUUAGUGAGUGAAUGGGUGGUGGGACAACUGAGUGAACAUGCUUGCUGAGGUUGUGUUUUUUUUUCCUAUAGAAAGACUUAAUAAUUCCAGGACAUACAACUGCCAUCAUUCACAGUGCACCAGAAGAGCAACCCAAUAACGACAGAAUAACUCGUGUUCAUGGAGUCCAUGAAGAUAACAAAUGUGGCAGGAACGUCAGCUGUAGCGGGUAAGAAGAGUAAAAAAUGUUUUUUCAUCACUCAAGUUGAUCCACACCAGCUAAUUAUGAACUCUGAUCACGGAUUGGACAGAGAUAACAAACGUAGUAAGGAGUCUACCUCCCAAAGUGAUCCUGAAGACAACAACUCACCAAGGAAUUCGAAGGCAGGAACGUCAGCUGUAGUGGGUAAGAAGAGUAAAAAACGUUUUUUCAUCGCUCAAGUUGCUCCACAACAGCCAAUUAUGAACUCUGAUCACGGAUUGGACAAAGAUAACAAACGUAGUAAGGAGUCUACCUCCCAAAGAGAUCCUGAAGACAACAACUCACCAAGGAAUUCGAAGGAAGGAAUGUCAACCUUAGCGAGUAAGAAGGGCUUAAAAGAUAUCGCCAUCACUCAAGUUGCUCCACAACAGCCAAUUAAUGAAUAUGCGUUCAACUAUGAUCGUGGAUUGGACAAUGGUAAGGAGUCUACCUCCCAAAGAGAUCCUGAAGACAGCAACUCACCAAGGAAUUCGAAGACUAUUUCUACAAAUUCUUGGAAGAAAUCCAUUAAUCAAUCAAUGGCAGCCGAUGCAAAAAGAAAAGAUAUGAAUGAACCACUGGAAGAGUUUGCUAAGGGAUCCACUGAGUUGACGCCUCGUCUGGAAGCAAUACAUCCUUUUUGGACAACAUCAGUGGGAAUGAAUGAAGUACAAACAUGCAGACAAGAUAAUGACAUUAAAACAACAAACAAGGAAGAACAAGAAUGGCUUGAUGGAAGUAAAAAUAAGCAAUUUGAAGAAAAAGGGCAGCGUUGCCAAAGUAAGGAAAUGGAAGUGUUAAGAAACUUGCAUGAAAGUGCUGCUCCUCCUGAUGACAGUGAUGGUUGUGGACUGAAUCAGCAGAGACAGAGUGGGGACCUUGAUAACCAGCAAUCUGCCACUAAGAAGAAUGAAGAAUAUUAUUUCUGCCCUGCCUUGCAUAUAAAGGAAACAAAAAAUGAAAAUGAAAAAGUGACUUCCAUGGAGUAUGGGAUUAGACCAGUGAUAGAGAAUGGCUUUUCACUCACUAGAAGUCUACUGCAAGUGAUUUAUGACAACAAUCUGAGUGAGCUCGAUCGUCUUAAAAGGGAACAGUUAAGAAGAAAAGAAAAGCAAUAUCAUAAAGAAGUAGAAGUGAAACAACUUGAAGUGACACAUAGAACACUAGAAUUGGAUGCGAGGACUUCAAAAAACAAUUUGACCCAGGUAAGUUAAUCUUUGAUAAAAUUUUUAUGUUUCUGACUUGAAUCACUGUUACAUAUAAUGUCCUCCUCAUUCAAGAUAUAUACAUAAAUAUAUAUAUACACACACACGCAUAUACUAAACAGGUGUGUAUGCACACAGACACACACACAGAUGUGUAAUCUUUAUUUAAAGUAACCCAAAAAUUAUUCUGAAGAUGAAUUAUGACAUAUACUGCUGGAGUUAUUGCUUGUGAGUCUUGGUACAUGAUGGUGCUUAGUACAUAUUUUCUAAAUAAAGCAGUGCAUAUUGAGUUGAAUUUAAUAACU
ensembl:lncRNA